AGCUCGUGUCGUGAGAUGUUGGGUUAAGUCCCGCAACGAGCGCAACCCUUGUCCUGUGUUGCUACCCGCAAGGGGAGGACUCUCAGGAGACUGCCGUGGAUAACACGGAGGAAGGUGGGGACGACGUCAAGUCAUCAUGGCCUUUAUGUCCAGGGCUACACACGUGAUACAAUGGUGCAGACAGAAGGUUGCAAGACCGUAAGGUGGAGCCAAUUCCCAAACUGCACCCUAGUUCAGAUUGAGGGCUGCAAUUCGCCCUCAUGAAGCUGGAAUCGCUAGUAAUCGCAGAUCAGCAGGCUGCGGUGAAUACGUUCCCGGGCCUU
rnacentral:rRNA from 1 species